ACCCGAGCCUGAGACAACAGCUCGGCUAAGUGCCCUUGAGAGGGUACAGUGGGGUCAGCCACAAAGCCAGACCACUAAAGAGAAAAAGAAAUACAGGGAGGAUCGGAGAGGAGAAAUGAGAAUGGUGGGGGAAAAAAUUAUUUUUUAAGCCAAAAAGAAUCAGAGAAGAGCAGAAGUGCCUCUAGGACAAAGCGUAGCAGGCAGUUAGGGAAAAAGGGCUGUUAACCUCUUUGAAGCUCUGACUACAUUAGAAGUCCUGCAAGACAGUCGUCGUUUUCGCAGGCAGGUAGAGAACCUUUCCUGCUCGUUGUUCUUCCGUAUUAUAAAUCACUGCCCUCUUUAUGAUGUCUACAGGGAAAACCACUUCAAGCUUCUUAGAGUCCCCUCAAAGCAUUUUCUAUACUCAAUAUAAUAUGGGAAGCCCUGGGUUUGUCUUUGUGUAUUUUAUCUGCAGUAAUCUGAAACCUGCCAUCGCCCUCUUCCUUUCUCUACUUAUGGAGUAAGGGGGUCAGCGACAAAGAUCGCUGGGAGAGGAAGAAACCCAGAAUGCAAUGAGGAGAGCAUUUAAACCGCCGGACCAUGUGCCUGUGUGGUGGAAGACUCUGGUAACAUUCUAAAGAAGAAGCAGCUGUGAAGUCAUAAUUAUGCUCACCUCCCACUGGCAACUGGCAAGCCCUUUAUUUUUGUGCAUUUGGAACUCACCAAGAAUAAAUAAAGUCCAUUCCCUCCUUGA